rnacentral:rRNA from 1 species
GAGGUAGCCAACACUGUUUAUGUGUAUGUGUAUAUAUAUUUUAUUUAUUUAUUUAUUUAUUUUUUUUUAUUGGGGUAGCCCCCAAAAUAUUGGGACAUAAAAAAAAAACACAGAGUAGCUGUUGACAUUAUAGUUGCGCAAGAACUUUGUUGACUCUAGAGAACCUCGGGCAAAUCGCACAUCCCCGUGGCAGCGACUUUGCAUGCAUAUGUCAUCCAUAUCAACUUUCGAUGCCAGUUUCUGCACAUACCAUGGUGACCAUUGGUAACGGGGAAUCAGGGUUCCAUUCCGUACAGGGACCCUGAGAAACGGCUUCCACACGCAAGGAAGGCAGCAGGCGCAAAAAUGACCCUCUCCUGACGCGGGAAGGUAG